AGAUGGGAUUGAACUCCAUCUAGUGUUUGGAGACAUCACUAAUGAGACUACUGAUGCCAUCGUGAACACCACUGACUUUAAGGACUUCCAGACAGCUGGAGUAUGUAAGAACAUCCUUACUAAGGCAGGACCUCAAAUCCAGGCUCAACUGACAGGCGCUCGGGCAGCGAGCGGGCAGAUCUUCACGACCCCACCAGGAGGCUUCCCCUGUAAGACCAUCAUGCAUGUUUGUGGAGAGAGAAACCCUGAU
rnacentral:lncRNA from 1 species